rnacentral:lncRNA from 1 species
GAGAAUUGGUUCCCCUUCCACCCCGAGAGCCCUAGGGAUCAGUAAAGCUCAGGUUGUAAGGCCCUGAAGCAAGUACCUUUGCCUGCUGAGCCAUCUCGCCCGCCCGCCCUCGUGACAGCAUGCUUGAGCCUCAGCAGUAUUUUAACCUGACACUGGUGCUUUUACAUUAGCAACGCAGACACUGAGACGAGGUGUCAAGGAAGGCGCCUGAGGUUGCAUAGGGUCUCCUGAGAUGCAGAUAUCCCUGCAUGUAUCAUGAAUCACGAGCCAGUGGCCUGUCCUGUCUGCCUCCUCACUCCAACUUCCCAGCAUGCAUAGUGUCUCCAGAGAGCCCUUUGGUGUCUUACAUGAUUGUGUUCCUUCUAAUAACUGAUUACCAUUGCUUGCAUAUUUAAUUGCCAUAAUCAGUGUUAAUAAUAUUCAUGGAAAGUAAUCUUGUGGUUGUGAACUCUAUAGUUACUAGGAUUUAAAAUUGCUUAAGACAAUAACAGAUGUGAAGUUUUCUUUUUAAGACUUGUUUUUCUUCCCCUCCGUGUCAGGAAUCUUAAAGGUGUGUCCAGGUUGGUGUGCGCUGCUCUGCUGCUUUGCUCAUGCGUCCCUGAGAUGGGUUUGCCUCUCCCAGGGAGUCUUCCUCACCUGUCCUCAGGGACACCGCUGAGCCUUGCUGCAAACAGCUUGCUUUACUGAUGUGUUUCGCAUCUGCAGAAUGCUAUAGACACGAUUUUCUGAAGGGUCUGGCUUGUCUGUGACUGCUUUUGUUGAAGCACUAACAGUUUUUUUGCUGGUGUGGAAUAUUACAAGAGUGUUUUCUAACAUCUGUUAAAGCCUACCUGUGUGUGCUUAGUGGGCUGCAGUUUGGAAUGGUUUGGGAAUGUAUGCAUUUUUCAUGGUCUUCAUGAGAAGGGCUGUGCCUAGACACUGCUGGAAGGUAGACACAGAGUUGGUUAGGCAGAGCGGUUUCUGAGUUAAUCGGGUCUUCCUGGUGCCAUCGGUGAGUUAAGGAAGCCUCACAAAAGGUGGUCUAGCAUGGGACACGACAAUUCUUAUUGUUUCAUUUUGGUUGGCACACUAUUAGUGUAAUUUAGGUGUGUUUUAAUGCCCUACUAUGUUUGAAUGUAAUAAAUGUCACAUUUAUUUCAUAUUCUAUUCUUCAAAGAAUUUCCUUUUCCAAAAGACAGUGAUGCAGCAGCCUUAUGUGUGUUCAUGAGGUUCUACAUUGAAGUCCUUAAAUGUCGAAAGUGUGGAUUGUUGUAUUAUUCCAUUAAUUAAUAUUUUCAAAUUAUGAAGUUUAUGUUCUUAAGUAAUUUAAAUAUAGUUCUUAAAAUUUUAUUUCCUUGAAAAGUUGUGAAAUUAGGCUUUUUAGUAAGAAGAACUUGGGAAAAAUUUUGCCUUUUAACCACUUUUAAAAGAUAGAGUUGAAUAAAAUAAGAUGAUUUUUAUCUUCAAACAAGAUUUUGGUCAGGGGGCUAAAUGCUUGGACAAAACCCUAACUUCAUGGUUUCUCUUGUGUUCCAGGAAACCCUUAUCACUACUGUCGAGUCUAAUUCCAGUUGGUGGACCAACUGGGUGAUCCCAGCCAUCUCAGCCCUGGUGGUAGCUCUGAUGUAUCGCCUCUACAUGGCAGAAGAUUAACCUGUCUGUCCGAAGCCAAGGAAGGAAAAGACUGCCCCAGAGAGGGGAGAAAAGAAGCCAGUGUUAAUCACUUCCACUGACAGAAACCCUCCCCCUGAGAAUGUAAUUGUAAUAUAUCUGUCUCCCUCUCCUCCUAUG